CAAUCCCUCUAGUAACCAGAAAAACUAUCUAGCUGGCAAGCGAAACAUUCAUUCAUGGAAAGUUUGCAUUAUUAUCUGGUUGUGAUUGUUUCGGGGAUGUUAAAAUGGGCAAGAGCACUCAGGAAAGCAGAUGAAACAUCCUCUAUACAUGACUUCUACUUGGAUACCUCCAGUCAAAGGUUGUUUACCAUCUCCCUUGGCAAUUGGUUCCAUUGUUAAACUCUCUAAAAUAAACUCUCUAAAUAUUAUAACAUUUUUC